ensembl:lncRNA
AAGACGUUUCCUGAUGCCAGAGGAGAAGACGAGCAGCUUUGUACCUUUGCGGUUCCUCUCUAUCUCCCCACACAUCCACCAACCACUGGAACACAUCUCCAAAGUUCUGCUGGACCAGCUCAGCUUCCCCUCAGAAGAAGUGCUGCCACCUGCCAGAUGAAGGAGCGUUUUGAGAGGCAGCUGGCAUCGUGAUUGGACUGUACUUUGGUCUGUUCCAAUCCAGCUUCAGCUCCAGAGACGGCAGGCGGGACGAGUCAACGGAGGCCGGAUGGACGAAGGCAUGAAGCUGAGUACAAUCCAGAAAACAACAGAGGAGGAGUGCAGCAGCCCAGGACCAGGACAACCAGAGUAGCAUGUCACUGUAAAAAGUCAGUCCAUCCUGGCCGACAUCAACACCUCUUCAUGACAACUUGUUCUGCCUCGGACCUCGUGGAAACUCCAGAAUCUCGGGAAAACCUGUCGAGACUCGAAGAACUCGUGGAGACUCGAUGAACUCGUCGGGCGGGG